AUUGAACGCUGGCGGCAGGCCUAACACAUGCAAGUCGAGCGAGCGGCGGACGGGUGAGUAAUUUAUUGCGAUCUGCCUGAUGGAGGGGGAUAACUACUGGAAACGGUAGCUAAUACCGCAUACCAUCAGAUGAACCCAUAUGGGAGUAGCUAGUAGGUAAGGUAACGGCUUACAAAGGCGACGAUCCCUAGCUGGUCUGAGAGGAUGAUCAGCCACACGGGGACUGAGACAAGGCCCAGACUCCUACGGGAGGCAGCAGUGGGGAAUAUUGCACAAUGGGCGCAAGCCUGAUGCAGCCAUGCCGCGUGUAUGAAGAAGGCCUUCGGGUUGUAAAGUACUUUCAGUCGGGAGGCGUUACCUACAGAAGAAGCACCGGCUAACUCCGUGCCAGCAGCCGCGGUAAUUC
rnacentral:rRNA from 1 species